UGGGGAAUAUUGGACAAUGGGCGCAAGCCUGAUCCAGCCAUGCCGCGUGAGUGAUGAAGGCCUUAGGGUUGUAAAGCUCUUUUGUCCGGGAAGAUAAUGACUGUACCGGAAGAAUAAGCCCCGGCUAACUUCGUGCCAGCAGCCGCGGUAAUACGAAGGGGGCUAGCGUUGCUCGGAAUCACUGGGCGUAAAGGGCGCGUAGGCGGACUCUUAAGUCGGGGGUGAAAGCCCAGGGCUCAACCCUGGAAUUGCCUUCGAUACUGGGAGUCUUGAGUUCGGAAGAGGUUGGUGGAACUGCGAGUGUAGAGGUGAAAUUCGUAGAUAUUCGCAAGAACACCAGUGGCGAAGGCGGCCAACUGGUCCGAAACUGACGCUGAGGCGCGAAAGCGUGGGGAGCAAACA
rnacentral:rRNA from 1 species